rnacentral:lncRNA from 10 species
AAAGGAUGACAGGGAGAAUCUGAACCAGUACCAUGCCCAUACCAGGCCUCAAAACAGCAGAGCUGUGUUUGUCAUCUCCACCUUCCUGCUCCAGAGCCUCCCCAGACCUCUCAGUCUAUGGGACUGUUGGUGGACAGGCAGAGUUUAAAUCCAUUGCGUCUUUUGCGUCUCGUGGUUCCAGAUGUGGAUGGGGCCAGCCCUGCAUGACCAGCCCCGGAGAGCAACUUCUAUUAGGUUUAUCAGAGGCUGGACAGCGUCCACUGCAUCUUUUCUUGCUUUGGGCGUUUUAAAACUUGGGCUGCUGUUGCAUAGGAGAUUGCAGCUGCAGUUUGGCUUGGCUUAAGAUAAGAUGCAGCCUCUGGGCUGAAAUUGAGGGUCCUGAUUCUGCUUUGAGAGAUGGUAUGGCAUCCUGAAAAGAACCGAGA